rnacentral:rRNA from 1 species
UACAGAGGGGGCAAGCGUUGUUCGGAAUUACUGGGCGUAAAGGGCGCGUAGGCGGCCUGCUAAGUCGAACGUGAAAUAGCUGGGCUCAACCCAGGAACUGCGUCCGAUACUGGUUGGCUUGAAUCCGGGAGAGGGAUGUGGAAUUCCAGGUGUAGCGGUGAAAUGCGUAGAUAUCUGGAGGAACACCGGUGGCGAAGGCGACAUCCUGGACCGGUAUUGACGCUGAGGCGCGAAAGCCAGGGGAGCAAACGGG